CACUGCUAUCGGGGUUCGAUUAAGCCAUGCGAGUCGAGAGGGUUCAGACCCUCGGCGCACUGCUCAGUAACACGUGGAUAACCUACCCUGAGGAGGGGGAUAACCCCGGGAAACUGGGGAUAAUACCUCAUAGGUUUCAGAUGCUGGAAUGCUCUGAAGCCGAAAUGCUCCGGCGCCUCAGGAUGGAUCUGCGGCCGAUUAGGUUGUUGUUGGGGUAACGGCCCAACAAGCCCGUCAUCGGUACGGGUUGUGAGAGCAAGAGCCCGGAGAUGGAUUCUGAGACACCAAUCCAGGCCCUACGGGGCGCAGCAGGCGCGAAACCUUUACAAUGCGAGCAAUCGUGAUAAGGGAACCCCGAGUGCCUGAAACCAGGCUGUUCAGGUGUUUAAAAGCACCUGGAGAAAGGGCCGGGCAAGACCGGUGCCAGCCGCCGCGGUAAUACCGGCGGCUCGAGUGGUGGCCGCUAUUAUUGGGCUUAAAGCGUUCGUAGCUGGGUUGUUAAGUCUCUUGGGAAAUCUCACGGCUCAACCGUGAGGCGACUAAGAGAUACU
rnacentral:rRNA from 1 species